CAUACACAGUAUGCGGCCAAGCGAAAGUAUUAAGUGAGCCACCUGGGGAGUACGUUGGCAACAGUGAAACUCAAAGGAAUUGACGGGGGCCCGCACAAGCGGAGGAACAUGUGGUUUAAUUCGAUGAUACGCGAGGAACCUUACCUGGACUUAAAUGCAGAGUGACAGACCCUGAAAGGGGUUUUUCUUCGGACGUUUUGCAAGGUGCUGCAUGGUUGUCGUCAGCUCGUGCCGUGAGGUGUCGGGUUAAGUCCCAUAACGAGCGCAACCCCUACCGUUAGUUACCAUCAGGUUAUGCUGGGGACUCUAGCGGGACUGCCACCGUAAGGUGCGAGGAAGGUGGGGAUGACGUCAAAUCAGCACGGCCCUUAUGUCCAGGGCUACACACGUGUUACAAUGGCCAGUACAAAGGGCAGCUACCUGGUGACAGGAUGCUAAUCUCGAAAGCUGGUCUCAGUUCGGAUCGAAGUCUGCAACCCGACUUCGUGAAGCUGGAUUCGCUAGUAAUCGCGCAUCAGCCAUAGCGCGGUGAAUACGUUCCCGGGCCUUGUACACACCGCCCGUCAAACCAUGGAAGUUGGGGGUGCCUGAAGUCUGUGACCGCAAGGAGCGGCCUAGGGUAAAACUAAUGACUGGGGUUAAGUCGUAACAAGGUAGCCG
rnacentral:rRNA from 1 species